AAAUAUUUAAAUUUCAAAUAUUUAAUAUCCAUAACCAUUCAAUAAUACCCGCUAUCUAAGCAAAGCCGUCAAAGGUGCUAAAAGGUUAAAGCCAAAAACCCGUUUAACAGCUUCACUUGUUCUCAUAAUAAACACUCAUUUAUUGCUUCCUGGUCCAAUUAAUGAAUCACAGGUUUGAGAGGAUGAGCUCUCAAUUUGGACAAGUCCAGAUUAGAAUCAAGUUCUUCAUCUAGCUCCCCAACAAUGCUUAUAUUGUCGCCUCUGAUUAUAUAUAAACCCAAAACAAGUUGCUG
rnacentral:misc_RNA from 1 species